rnacentral:rRNA from 1 species
CCUGAGUACGACGGAGCACGUGAAAUUCCGUCGGAAUCUGGGAGGACCAUCUCCUAAGGCUAAAUACUCUCUAGUGACCGAUAGUGAACCAGUACCGUGAGGGAAAGGUGAAAAGUACCCCGGAAGGGGAGUGAAAGAGAACUUGAAACCGUGUGCUUACAAGUAGUCAGAGCCCGUUAAUGGGUGAUGGCGUGCCUUUUGUAGAAUGAACCGGCGAGUUACGAUCUGAUGCAAGGUUAAGCAGAAAAUGUGGAGCCGUAGCGAAAGCGAGUCUGAAUAGGGCGAAUGAGUAUUUGGUCGUAGACCCGAAACCAGGUGAUCUACCCUUGGUCAGGUUGAAGUUCAGGUAACACUGAAUGGAGGACCGAACCGACUUACGUUGAAAAGU